UACGUAGGGUGCAAGCGUUAAUCGGAAUACUGGGCGUAAAGCGUGCGCAGGCGGUGAUGUAAGACAGUUGUGAAAUCCCCCGGGCUCAACCUGGGAACUGCAUCUGUGACUGCAUCGCUGGAGUGCGGCAGAGGGGGAUGGAAUUCCGCGUGUAGCAGUGAAAUGCGUAGAUAUGCGGAGGAACACCGAUGGCGAAGGCAAUCCCCUGGGCCGCACUGACGCUCAUGCACGAAAGCGUGGGGAGCAAACAGG
rnacentral:rRNA from 1 species